AGCGAACGCUGGCGGCAGGCUUAACACAUGCAAGUCGAACGCUCGUAGCAAUACGGGAGUGGCAGUCGGGUGAGGAACACGUGGGAAUAUGCCCUUUGGUUCGGAAUAACUCAGGGAAACUUGAGCUAAUACCGGAUAAGCCCUAACGGGGAAAGAUUUAUCGCCGAAGGAUUAGCCCGCGUCUGAUUAGCUUGUUGGUGAGGUAACGGCUCACCAAGGCGACGAUCAGUAGCUGGUCUGAGAGGAUGAUCAGCCACACUGGGACUGAGACACGGCCUAGACUCCUACGGGAGGCAGCAGUGGGGAAUAUUGGACAAUGGGCGCAAGCCUGAUCCAGCCAUGCCGCGUGAGUGAUGAAGGCCUUAGGGUUGUAAAGCUCUUUUGUCCGGGAAGAUAAUGACUGUACCGGAAGAAUAAGCCCCGGCUAACUUCGUGCCAGCCGCCGCGGUAAGAC
rnacentral:rRNA from 1 species